CCAGGACUCCACUGUUCUAAGCGAUCUAGUGUGGUGUCAAAUGCUUGUCUGGCACUAAGGGAUCUGUUGACUGACUAAUAACGUUAGCUGAGACCACCAGGGCAUUCUUUUAGGCAUUUGUAGCAUACACGUGGUGUAAGGGUUGGCAAAAUGCUCAUCAAGGUCCAGUACCGUGGACUAAAAAAGUACCUCAAACUGCAGCCUGGUUUUUCUUAUGAAAGUUUCAUUGAAGAAGAAUUUGUGCCAGCAGGUUCUUCUACUCUAAAUUCUUCACUUUUCUGAAGUGAUAUGGAGAGGUCCUCUUCAAACAAGGG